AGAGGUCAUGGUAAAGAUGAAACAAUUGAAGAUGCAGUGCAGUGUAGGACAGUUGAGGAAGCUGGAGUACGAGGCAGGUGAAGUUGAGUGCAAACUGAGAAGAGGAAGAUGGUACUUUGAGAACUGAACCAGUGACACACUGCCUAUGAAGGGCACAUAUUUCCUCUGCCUGACUAGAGAUUUGCGGAAGAACUUGGAUUGCAGAUCAUAACUUGGCCAAAAUGGGUGGAUGAAAGAAGCCUAAGAACUAUUAGUAAGUUGCCUCACAUCACAAUGCAAACAGACCGAAGGACUAUUUCCAGGAAUCUAAUGUAGCUCCAAAGAUCGAGCUCAAAUAAUUUCUCCCCUACUUGAGAAGCGUAGUCUCCAUUAACA